rnacentral:rRNA from 1 species
CCUGACUGGUGACGCGGAGGGACAUUAUAGAGUUUUCUAAACUCCCAACCCAUGUGAACUUACCAUUGUUGCCUCGGCAGAAGCUGCUCGGCGCGCCUUACCUUGGAACGGCCUACCCUGUAGCGCCUUACCCUGGAACGGCUUACCCUGCAACGGCUGCCGGUGGACUACCAAACUCUUGUUAUUUUAUGGUUAUCUGAGCGUCUUAUUUUAAUAAGUCAAAACUUUCAACAACGGAUCUCUUGGUUCUGGCAUCGAUGAAGAACGCAGCGAAAUGCGAUAAGUAAUGUGAAUUGCAGAAUUCAGUGAAUCAUCGAAUCUUUGAACGCACAUUGCGCCCAUUAGUAUUCUAGUGGGCAUGCCUGUUCGAGCGUCAUUUCAACCCUUAAGCCUAGCUUAGUGUUGGGAGCCUACUGCUUUUGCUAGCUGUAGCUCCUGAAAUACAACGGCGGAUCUGCGAUAUCCUCUGAGCGUAGUAAUUUUUAUCUCGCUUUUGACUGGAGUUGCAGCGUCUUUAGCCGCUAAACCCCCCAAUUUUUAAUGGUUGACCUCGGAUCAGGUAGGAAUACCCGCUGAACUUAAGCAUAUCAA